rnacentral:rRNA from 1 species
UACGUAGGAGGCGAGCGUUGUCCGGAAUUACUGGGCGUAAAGCGCACGUAGGCGGCUUUUUAAGUCAGGGGUGAAAUCCCGGGGCUCAACCCCGGAACUGCCCUUGAAACUGGAGAGCUAGAAUCUUGGAGAGGCGAGUGGAAUUCCGAGUGUAGAGGUGAAAUUCGUAGAUAUUCGGAAGAACACCAGUGGCGAAGGCGACUCGCUGGACAAGUAUUGACGCUGAGGUGCGAAAGCGUGGGGAGCAAACAGG